UCUCAUGGAUGAGCACAGAAAGUGAUUUCUUGGGAAGGAUUCUACUCCUGGUGAAGAUGCUGUGAA
rnacentral:pre_miRNA from 1 species